UACGGGGGGGGCAAGCGUUGUUCGGAAUUACUGGGCGUAAAGGGCUCGUAGGUGGCCAACUAAGUCAGACGUGAAAUCCCUCGGCUUAACCGGGGAACUGCGUCUGAUACUGGAUGGCUAGAGAUUGGGAGAGGGAUGCGGAAUUCCAGGUGUAGCGGUGAAAUGCGUAGAUAUCUGGAGGAACACCGGUGGCGAAGGCGGCAUCCUGGACCAACACUGACACUGAAAAGCGAAAGCCAGGGGAGCAAACGGG
rnacentral:rRNA from 1 species